GGGGAAGCUUCUCUUUCUGGAGAUACCUCCUUGGUGAAGAUUUCUCUUGUGAAUGCAGAAUCUUCUAGUAUGAAUACUCCUGAUCACACCAAGAAUGUUUCUGUGCAGAAUCAGGUUCAGUGAUUUGCAUUAGGAACUGAUGAAUAUGAAGCUGAGAUUGUCCCCAGGAAUCUGGAAGAGAAACUGAGAUUGCUUCAAUGAAAAGUGAGCCAGAGAGAAGAGGAAAACUUAGGAAGUAAUUUCACAGCAAAGCAUUAGUAUGCUGGUAGGGAUGAGGGCAAGUGAUCCUUGGUCAGAACCUUCACCCCUCUUGCACCUGUAUGGCACUGCUGGUGGCAUGAAGGUAUGGGAGCAACUGAAAUGUAUGAUGUCCUCAAACAAUGCUUCUGAAAAUAUUUUCCUAAGAUUUUUACUUUGCUUCUGUCACAAAAAGCAAGACUGGAAAACAGUUUGAGAGCUCCUUAAGAUAAAUCCUUUUGUGCCUUUCCUGCGGAUGCAGGUAAUUGCAGAGAGAUUUGGGAUCAGUCUAAAUCAGAUCCUGCCCAUUAAAAAAUACAUCUCAGGGUUGGAUUUGACAUGCAGUGUUGACAUCCUUUUUUCUAUAGUGAGGCAGAUGAUAUGCUUAGCAGACAGCUACUUUGACAACUUCCCUUCUGAGGAGCUGAAGGAAAAUGCUGAAAAUUUCCUGUAGCUUUUGAUAUUUUAUGUGCUUCCUGGCCUAAUCUUUAUAAAAUCCUGGCACUGGAGGGGGUCACAUUUACUGCUACCACAAGCAGAUGCAACUCCGGAGAUAUCAGUAGAGUUGCAUCUUGUAGUUUUGAAGCUGGACCUCCCUUUGAUGAAAUAUGUUGCCUUCUUUAUGUGUAGGGAGAAGAGAGUUGCCCUCUUUUGAGCUUUGAUACCAGUUCUGUAGUCUUAAAUAAGGCAGCAGGAUCUUUCCAAAACUGUAAUUUCUUUCCAUUAGGAGAAUCACCUGUGCAAACUUGUCAAGAAAUUAUGCAUAUAAAAAACUAACACAUUACUUCCUCCUAGUAGUUUGAAUGACAUAUUGAGUUAUUCUCUAUGCAUUUUGUAUCCUUUUUGCUUUCUUCCUUUCCCUUUAUUGCACUAAAACUUGCCUCCUGUAUAGCUAAGUGUCCAUGUU